GACGUAGGGCGCGAGCGUUGUCCGGAUUUAUUGGGCGUAAAGAGCUCGUAGGCGGCUUGUCGCGUCAACUGUGAAAACCCGUGGCUCAACCAUGUGGUCUGCAGUCGAUACGGGCAGGCUAGAAUUCGGUAGGGGAGACUGGAAUUCCUGGUGUAGCGGUGAAAUGCGUAGAUAUCUGGAGGAACACCGGUGGCGAAGGCGGCAUCCUGGACCGGCAUUGACGCUGAGGCGCGAAAGCCAGGGGAGCAAACGGG
rnacentral:rRNA from 1 species